rnacentral:rRNA from 1 species
AAACAUGAGAGUUUGAUCCUGGCUCAGAACGAACGCUGGCGGCACGCCUAACACAUGCAAGUCGAACGAGAAUCGUUCCUUCGGGGACGCUUCUAGUGGCGCACGGGUGAGUAACGCGUGGGAAUCUGCCUGAUAGUGGGGGAUAACUGUUGGAAACGACAGCUAAUACCGCAUACGCCAAGAGCAGAAAUCGAAAGAUGCUAAAAAAUCUAAAAGCUGGAUGAGUCCUGUAUUUAAACGUCUAUGUUUUUUUUCGCAGGCUCCGGGAUCUUUCGUUUUCUGUUCUUGGGAAAGAUUUAUCGCUAUCAGAGGAGCCCGC